rnacentral:rRNA from 1 species
AACGUAGGAGACAAACGUUAUCCGGAGUUACUGGGCGUAAAGGGCGUGUAGGCGGUUAGUUAAGUCUGGCGUGAAAGCUCUCGGCUAAACCGGGAGAGGUCGUUGGAUACUGGCAAACUAGAGGACGGUAGAGGCGUGUGGAAUUCCGGGUGUAGUGGUGAAAUGCGUAGAGAUCCGGAGGAACACCAGUGGCGAAGGCGACACGUUGGGCCGUACCUGACGCUAAAGCGCGACAGCAUGGGGAGCAAACAGG